rnacentral:rRNA from 1 species
GAUGAACGCUGGCGGCGUGCCUAAUACAUGCAAGUCGAGCGAACGGACGAGAAGCUUGCUUCUCUGAUGUUAGCGGCGGACGGGUGAGUAACACGUGGAUAACCUACCUAUAAGACUGGGAUAACUUCGGGAAACCGUAGCUAAUACCGGAUAAUAUUUUGAACCGCAUGGUUCAAAAGUGAAAGACGGUCUUGCUGUCACUUAUAGAUGGAUCCGCGCUGCAUUAGCUAGUUGGUAAGGUAACGGCUUACCAAGGCAACGAUGCAUAGCCGACCUGAGAGGGUGAUCGGCCACACUGGAACUGCAACACGGUCCAGACUCCUACGGGAGGCAGCAGUAGGGAAUCUUGCGCAAAGGGCGAAAGCCUGACGGAGCAACGCCGCGUGAGUGAUGAAGGUCUUCGGAUCGUAAAACUCUGUUAUUAGGGAAGAACAUAUGUGUAAGUAACUGUGCACAUCUUGACGGUACCUAAUCAGAAAGCCACGGCUAACUACGUG